CUGCCAGUAGUCAUAUGCUUGUCUCAAAGAUUAAGCCAUGCAUGUCUCAGUACAAGCCAUAUUAAGGUGAAACCGCGAAAGGCUCAUUAAAUCAGUUAUGGUUCCUUAGAUCGUACCCACAUUUACUUGGAUAACUGUGGUAAUUCUAGAGCUAAUACAUGCAAACAGAGCUCCGACCGGAGACGGAAGGAGUGCUUUUAUUAGAUCAAAACCAAUCGGCGGCAAUGGAGUUUACUUUAUUGUUCGUCGCACUUUUUGGUGACUCUGAAUAACUUUUGGCUGAUCGCACGGUCUCGCACCGGCGACGCAUCUUUCAAAUGUCUGCCUUAUCAACUGUCGAUGGUAGGUUCUGCGCCUACCAUGGUUGUAACGGGUAACGGGGAAUUAGGGUUCGAUUCCGGAGAGGGAGCCUGAGAAACGGCUACCACAUCCAAGGAAGGCAGCAGGCGCGCAAAUUACCCACUCCCGGCACGGGGAGGUAGUGACGAAAAAUAACGAUACGGGACUCAUCCGAGGCCCCGUAAUCGGAAUGAGUACACUUUAAAUCCUUUAACAAGGACCAAUUGGAGGGUAAGUCUGGUGCCAGCAGCCGCGGUAAUUCCAGCUCCAAUAGCGUAUA
rnacentral:rRNA from 1 species